GUCUAUGGCCAUACCACCCUGAACGUGCCCGAUCUCGUCUGAUCUCGGAAGCUAAGCAGGUUCGGGCCUGGUUAGUACUUGGAUGGGAAACAAAUGACCCAAACGAAGACUAGAACUUUGACC
rnacentral:rRNA from 1 species